GACGAACGCUGGCGGCGUGCUUAACACAUGCAAGUCGAACGGUGAAGCUCCAGCUUGCUGGAGUGGAUCAGUGGCGAACGGGUGAGUAACACGUGAGCAACCUGCCCCUGACUCUGGAAUAAGCGCUGGAAACGGCGUCUAAUACUGGAUACGAGAAGGGUCCGCAUGGGCACUUUCUGGAAAGUUUUUCGGUUGGGGAUGGGCUCGCGGCCUAUCAGCUUGUUGGUGAGGUAAUGGCUCACCAAGGCGACGACGGGUAGCCGGCCUGAGAGGGCGACCGGCCACACUGGGACUGAGACACGGCCCAGACUCCUACGGGAGGCAGCAGUGGGGAAUAUUGCACAAUGGGCGAAAGCCUGAUGCAGCGACACCGCGUGAGGGAUGACGGCCUUCGGGUUGUAAACCUCUUUCAGCAGGGAAGAAGCGAAAGUGACGGUACCUGCAGAAGAAGCACCGGCUAACUACGUG
rnacentral:rRNA from 1 species